GGCCCCGUAGCUCAGCUGGAUAGAGCGGCACCCUCCUAAGGUGAUGGUCAGAGGUUCGAAUCCUCUCGGGGUCGCCA
rnacentral:tRNA from 2 species